UAUGGCCAUCUCAUGUUGAAACACCAGUUCUCAUACAAUCAUGAAAGUUAAGCAACAUUGAGCAUGAUUAGUACCUAGAUGGGUGAACAUUUGGGAAUACCAGGUGCUGUAAG